UAGCACGAUAAAAAGUUCAGACCCCUUUCCCUCCUAUGCAAAUGCCUUGACAUUCGCUUUAUAUCAGAUGGAAUUUUCUUUUCUCUUGUUAUUCAGACCAAGAAGAUGAGCUCUCUUUUUCAUGUAGUUCACUUUUUUUAUACUGCAGUCUCCAGAUAUUGUUGUCAACAGUGAACAGAUGAAGCCUCCCUGCAACAUAAUGAUAUAUCACAACGGCAUCAUGGUCUACAUUAGGGUUUAAAAAAAUCACCAACUGAUAAAUAUUGCUUUUGAUAGCUCAGAUCAUAGGCUUGAUCUAUGUCUUAGUCCUGCAGAGAUGUAGCUAUUUUACAGUUACAUCUUCUUAAGCCAAACAAACUGGAAGAAAGGUGUUUUAAAAAGCAUAUUCUGUUAUUGUGGAAUUCUUUCACUAACCAAAAUAAAUUUCUCUUCAGCACCUCAGGACCUCAAUGACUUCUUGAAACUGAGUAGUCCUAGCAUAAAGUGGAGAAUAAAUACAAGAAUGGAAGAACAAACUAAUCAAAACCUUGCUCUGGAAUUAACUUGAAAAAAUGUAUGAUGAUGUGACUAGAUUUAUGCCUCCUUAGAAGUCUUAGAAGUCAAGAAGACUUGAAUAGAAAUGCCUACUUAGAAAUAUGUAAAUGAAAGGACAGACAAUCAGCAGGAAGACUUAUUUCUCACAGUAACAGGUUCUAAAGUACUGAUUGUACAAACUCAUUGCAAUUAAUUUAUUCAAUUCAGUAAGGAAGCUGCAUUAUGCUCCUACUCUCCAUAGCUUCUAUCUGUUGUCAGCCGUGGGGCAGCCACAGGCUAAUUGAGAUUACAUUAGGGCUGAAGUAACCCAUCUAUAGUGAAUAUUUAUUUCUGAAAACUUGGUUCCUAACUCAUAAUCUCUUUUAAGAGACUGUUGGCUGGUAGAGAAGGUCAUGACUGCUGUAUUUAAUAGCUCUUAGUCAUCUUUGGCAGUAAGAAUUAUGUAUAUAAUAUAACAUUUCAUAUGUAUAUGAAGCCGAUCCGAUAUACUUUUUGAAAAAAAACGUGAACAAAUUAAUUUUGUGAAAAUAUUGGACUAGUAGAACAGAGGAGUAAUCUUGGAACACAUCUACCACCUAGUAGACAAAAUCAAUACAAAUCCCAGACCCCUGCAAAUUCAAAAUUAACUUUGAAAAAGGUAAAGAAUUUGUACAGUAAUGAGCCAUGGGAAAAUAGAAAGAAUUCUUGUCUUGUAAGAGAAAUUGGGAACUUACUGAGGGUUAAAUAGAAAGAAUUCUUGUCUUGUAAGAGAAAUUGAGAACUUACUGAGGGUUCAGGACUCACAGUUAACUGCAGAAUAAAGAAUGCUACAGAGUCCAGAAUAACAAGGAGAAUUUUGUCAAGGUAUGUUAAUAUUUCUUGUUAAGGAUUAUUGCUGCAAAGCUUUGUCCCAGAAGGCUGCUUUGGUAUUAGAAAUCUUGCCUUUGAGUUACACAGGGAAAAAAAUUCAUCAGAGUAAAGUAUUUUGUUGUUCAGAAACUGUGGAAAGUGUCAACUGAUAAUGAAAAUCUUUUAUAAUGCCUAGGAUUCAGAAUGAUAACUGAACAGGAUGUAUACUUGUUCAGAUGCAUAUGGAACAAUUCCAAUAAAUGAAAUAGAUCCACUCAUAUAGAAUAAGUAUAAACUUCAUUCUUGGUUAAAUCUAAACCUAGGAAGAUAAAACAAGAAUAGAUGAGCAUGCAUGAAACUGAAUAAUAGGAAGUGAAACACAGCAAUCCUGAAUCUGAAGAAAAAAAAUACUUUAUUUAAGGUGUGUUUUUUUACAAUCCCACAUUUGAUCAACAAAGUGUUUGAAUGAAGAACUUUACGGAGAUGACUUAUAAUUCUAUUCAAUGGAUGAUUUAAAGCACCUACAUCUCAAGAAGCAGAAGAAAUGUGUUUAACUGUGGGGGCAGAGUGGGGGAAAUCCUCCUAUCACCAUGGUAGCAAGUGGUCUUUGUCAGUGCUUGUGCUUAUGUUUUGCAUAAGAGAAUAUGGUCAUUUAGACUGCAGAACUGUAGUGUCAUUUUAAAAAGGCACUGGGACCAGACAUAAUGCACUGUUCUAUGAAUUCUGAAAGUGCAAUUGAAAGCAGACCAGUGAUGACAGCAAGGUCUUAACUUGCUUACACUGAGGGCCAUGAACAUCAAAUUUUUCAGCCAAGGGUGAAAUAGCAUCCUCAUAAUUAACCGAUCUUAGAAACUACAACAUGCCAACUGCACCUAGUAUCCCCAAGAAAUUUUAGAAUGGCAAGUUUCCCAUAAAAAUCAUCUUUUUUUUUAAGAUCACAAAAAUGCACAGCACUUGAGGGAACAACGUAGACAUAGUAGAAUGAUGAGGUGAAACUUUCAGAAACGUGAUGGAGAAGUACGGCUAAGAUAUAUCAGGUUGUAGUACCUGAUGUAUAUAGAAGCUCAACCCAAAAUUCACCACCUGUAUUUCAGAAAAUAUUGUGUCAUGAGGCCAAAGCAUCAACUACAAAAUAAAAUUAAUAAAUCUUGAAAGGUAAAGACCAUUUGUAUGGUGCAACAUUGAAGUCUAGUUAUGGUCAAUCUAAUCUAUUAAUGCAGUUAUUUACAUGAAUACAGAAUCAAUGACAUUACUAGAACCAGAGUACAGUAAAGGCACAGGUUAUAAUGACACUGAAUGAAUUUUAUGUGAAGGUAAAAUACCAGAAUAAAGUCUUAUCUUGCAGACCACAGCUGUCACCACAAAUUUUAAAAACAAAAUCUGAUUGUGAGUGUGGUAGAUGGGUGCAUAAAUUUCACAGUUUUAUUAGAACAAAAAAUGAAGAAGUCUUUCCUCUCCUAGUCAUUGCCUCAUUCUGCCAUACAAGAGAAGCAGUAGUAAAAAUAGAUCCUCCAGUUUCAGUGGUUAGAUAUCUUCCUCUAUCUGUUUCACUCUUAAUAAUUCUUGAAGACUAGGUGAUGACAUCUGACUAAAAUAGUUUCUUUUAGGUGGAAUUAUAUCAACCUUCCAUAAACAGAUUUUUAUUUUUUUUCUGUAUCUUUUCUGGGUGUAUCUUACCUGACUUAAAACAAUUGCCUUUUUUCAUAGCCAUGUGUUUUUCAAAGCCAACAGUUAC